rnacentral:rRNA from 1 species
ACUGACACUGAGGCACGAAAGCGUGGGGAGCAAACAGGAUUAGAUACCCUGGUAGUCCACGCCCUAAACGAUGCGAACUGGAUGUUGGGUGCAACUUGGCACCCAGUAUCGAAGCUAACGCGUUAAGUUCGCCGCCUGGGGAGUACGGUCGCAAGACUGAAACUCAAAGGAAUUGACGGGGGCCUGCACAAGCGGUGGAGCAUGUGGU